ensembl:lncRNA
CAGCAGUCAUUCAGGUAACUUGGUGAGGACGCCCUCAGUUCAAGCAGCUAUGCCACAGUCUGGGGAGAUAAAUGAAUAAGGUAUAUUCCUGUACACAAGCCCAGUGGGGGAACCUUGAUGAAACCCUUCUACUUGAAAACUUUUCCUUGGCUUGCAACUAGAUGUUUGGAAACAUUGUUUUGUUGUCAAGUUUCAUAAAAUCUCUUGUGUGAUGCAGAAGUCUCUACUGCCGACUCCCUGCCCUCACACACACACACACAGAAGGUGGAGCACAUGAGUUUGGAUUUUAGAGCCAGUCUACGUGAGUCUGCAUCCUGGCUGUCAACCCUUUACUACUUGUGUGACCUUGGGCAAGUCCUUUGAGCUCUCUGAGCCUCAGUUUCUUCAUCUGUAAAGUAGGCAUAAUUUCACUGUUGUGAGGUUUUUGCAAAUAAGGUAACACAUGCAAAACAUUCAGUACCACUCUGGUGUAUAGUUAAGACCUGAUAAGCGUCAGCCAUUGUUUUUUAUCAUUAGGGAUGGGCAUCUCUUGCCACCCCAGUGAAACAGUUCCUUGUCUCUUUCUUUGCUUCUGCCACCUGGGGCACUCAGCCCAAGGCAAAUGUGCCUGAUGAUGGGGGUUAGUCAUCAGGUUCCCCUGCCUCAGAGGAUGAGAGCAUGACUGCUGCUCUCUGCCCAGUCUCCUUAGAAAUCUGAUUCAUGCCUUGCCAAUACUCUAUGAAUAUGCAUACUUCACCUGCAGCCCUGUCUCCUUUCACAAUGAGCUCAGUCAUUUGCACCUCCUGGGUCAUGUGCAGACAUCCUCAGUAUUACCCACUGAUGGGCGCUGGAGAAACCUCUAAGAAGAUGAGUCUUGAUAGGCAGGUGACAGUGGCUUGACUCUCUAACCUAUGGCUUUGCCUGUUUGGCCAUAUUUCAAAACUACCAGGGGCCUCUGAAUUGACUGAUUACCCAGCAUAGGGUCACAGUGUUUCAUUUGGCUGCUCUUGGACUAAAGUGACAACUUGGGAUAGCCCCAUCAGAAUGGGACCCGUUUGGGAGCCUUUUGUUUCACCCUCUUUCUCUCUCCAGUCCUUAUGGGUUCCCUGAAACCUGUGAGGUGGUUUGGGGUGUUGAAAGUUAAGCCCCUCAAAGAGAAGUCUUAUGCCUUAGAUUAGUGUUAGUGAUUACAAGCUCCGGGUUUUGAGACUGAUCUGGUUUGAAACCUGGCUCAGCGUUUUGUUAGCCGUGACCCUAAGCUUCAUAACUUGUUUCUCUGAGUCUGUUUCCUCAUCUAUAAAUGGGAUUAAGGCUGGGCAUGGUGGCUCAUGCUUGUAAUCCCAGCACUUUGGGAGGCUGAGGUGGGCGGAUCACCUGAGGUCAGGAGUUUGAGACCAGCUUGGGCAACAUGGUGAAACCCUCUCUCUACUAAAAAUACAAAACUUAGCCAGGCAUGGUGGCACAUGCCUGUAAUCCCAGCUACUCAGGAGGCUGAGGCAGGAUAAUCCCUUGAACUCGGGGGAUGGAGGUUGCAGUGAGCCGAGAUUGUGCCACUGCACUCCAGCCUGGGUGGCAGAACACUCUGUCUCAAAAAAAAAAAAAAAAAAAAAAAAAAAAG